UACAGAGGUCCCAAGCGUUGUUCGGAUUAACUGGGCGUAAAGGGCGCGUAGGUGGUGGCUUAAGCGUGCGGUGAAAGCUCGGGGCUCAACCCCGAGUCGGCCGUGCGAACUGGGCUCACUGGAGCAUAGUAGAGGCAGGUGGAAUUCCGGGUGUAGCGGUGGAAUGCGUAGAGAUCCGGAAGAACACCGGUGGCGAAGGCGGCCUGCUGGGCUAUGGCUGACACUGAGGCGCGACAGCGUGGGGAGCAAACAGG
rnacentral:rRNA from 1 species